GGCCGGGCCCUGUGCAAAAGAAACCUUUGAACCCCGCCAGGUCCGGAAGGAAGCAACGGUAAGGAGGCCCUUCUUUGUGCCGCAGGAUCACCUGGCCCCC
rfam:Nitrospirae bacterium RIFCSPLOWO2_12_FTLL_63_8 rifcsplowo2_12_scaffold_187490, whole genome shotgun sequence.